rnacentral:rRNA from 1 species
UGGGGAAUUUUGCACAAUGGAGGAAACUCUGAUGCAGCGACGCCGCGUGAGUGAUGAAGAUCUUCGGAUUGUAAAACUCUGUCCUUAGUGAAGAUAAUGACAGUAACUAAGAAGCAAGCCCUGGCUAAAUACGUGCCAGCAGCCGCGGUAAUACGUAUGGGGCAAGCGUUGUCCGGAAUUAUUGGGCGUAAAGGUUACGUAGGCGGUUUAAUAAGUCCUAAUUAAAAGGCUAUGGCUCAACCAUAGUAUGGUUAGGAAACUGUUGAACUUGAGUAGAUGAGGGGAAAGUGGAAUUCCAUGUGUAGCGGUGAAAUGCGUAGAUAUAUGGAGGAACACCAAUGGCGAAGGCAACUUUCUGGAAUCAAACUGACGCUGAGGUACGAAGGCGUGGGGAGCAAACAGG